rnacentral:rRNA from 1 species
AUGGGUUCUGGGCAGUCACUAUCCUUUUGGCACGAUUGUUGGUUGCCGGUAGGCCGGCUCUGCUUUGUGUUGCCCACUUUAUUCAGCUUCGCCCAGGACGGCUGCUGCACGGUCGCCUCUCAGUUCCAUCAGGGAAGCUGGCAUUUCCUACUACAUCCAAACCUGUAUACUAUGGCCGUGCAUGAGUUGCAGUUCCUCUGUGACCUUCUAGCUACCAUUGAGCCAUCAUCCAGUCGUACUGAUGCACGUUCACCCGCUCUCCAAAGUAAGGGGUUCACUACUUCUUAUGUCUACAAGCUGCUCACCUUCAGAGGGAUUUCUUGUGUUUCCAGCGCCUGGACCUGGGACCCUGUCAUUCCUUGGAAAUACCGCAUCUUCCUCUGGCUGGCGUUUCGGGGACGGCUGAAUUCCCGUGAUAACAUGAUCAAGAAGCAUUGGACUCCCAUUACCACGCACCAAGAUUGUGAUAUAUGUCCUGCUUGUGAAUCUAUCAAUCAUAUUGUACUCCGAUGCUCUCCGGCUUCGGUUCUCUGGGGCUCUUUGCACAUGAUGGACCUCGCCACCCGUGCCACGAAUAUUGUCAGCUUCAUGCAGGGGGCACUGCAUGCAUGGCCACCCUCAAACAGAUUUCCCUUGAUGUUGGCAGCUGCAGCUGUCACGCUUUGGCACGCUAGGAAUGAUCGUGUGUUCAACAGCAAGCAAUGGUCUACUACCUUCAUCAAGCUCUAUGUUGUGCAGUUGCUGAACAUGGAGGAAUAG